UUGGAGGGCAAGUCUGGUGCCAGCAGCCGCGGUAAUUCCAGCUCCAAUAGCGUAUAUUAAAGUUGUUGCAGUUAAAAAGCUCGUAGUUGAAUUUCGGGAUCAAUUUAUUGGUCGUGCCAACGGUACGCACUGGUACAAUUGGUUUCUCCCUUCUGACGAAGCAUGAUGUCAUUAAUUUGAUGUCGUGGGGAAUCAGGACUGUUACUUUGAAAAAAUUAGAGUGUUUGAAGCAGGCUUUGGCUUGAAUACAUUAGCAUGGAAUAAUGAAAUAGGACGUUUGAUCUUAUUUCGUUGGUUUCUAAGAUCGACGUAAUGAUUAAUAGGGAUAGUUGGGGGCAUUAGUAUUCAAUUGUCAGAGGUGAAAUUCUUGGAUUUAUUGAAGACUAACUACUGCGAAAGCAUUUGCCAAGGAUGUUUUCAUUAAUCAAGAACGAAAGUUAGGGGAUCGAAGACGAUCAGAUACCGUCGUAGUCUUAACCAUAAACUAUGCCGACUAGGGAUCGGAUGAUGUUAAUUUUUUAAUGACUCAUUCGGCGCCUUACGGGAAAC
rnacentral:rRNA from 1 species